UUGACUUUGACACAACAUUACUUUAUAUUUUUGUUUUGUUUUGUUUUUCUCUCCUUCAAACAAGUUGGCCUCCAAAUUUACUACUAGUCUUAUGGAUCAUUACAGUACGAGUACAUGACUUUGUGCUUGACGUACUACCAGUAUACCAGGUAUACUAUUCAUAGCGCUAGCGGUGAUUGCAGUAGAAGAACAGACCUGUGAGUGUCAAGUAUUACCAUUGUUUGGCUGAGAGACAUUCCACUCCUUUGGGAGGAAUCAGAAUGGCGGAGGAGUUUGGUCAUCCAGCGUACAAUUACGAAGGCGAUGUUCCGACAUGUAUUGCUCUCUACAAGCAAGUCUAUUCUAGCAUGAUGCCGAACAGGUAUUAUCAAUGGCGAUAUGUUUAUGGUGACAAGAGGCCGUUUGACAACGGCAUGCAUAUCAUGAGAAAGUGUCUCCGUGCGCGUGCACAGAAAAAUCCAGAAACACGGGCAGCGUAUGUGAAAGCAUACCGUGAUCAUUUUGGUGUGCCACAAGAAUGGCGUGCCAUGGACAACCCUGUGUGGAAACUACGAGAAUCUCCUCCUGACAACUGGGUCAAGACAGAUACGCUUGCUGACCAAUGAAGCUAACGCGUUGAUCUGCUACAGCUUGCUGGCAUUGCUGCACUGGUACGGUGAAAUGUUUAUCAGCUUCUUGUGGUGUCACUGUUACAACAGGUACUAGUAGUAGCUGGCAACAUCACCAGCGUACACACACACACACACAGACUGUAUUGUAGAGUGCUGCUACUCGUGGAGCAUGGCCGCCGUGUUAUCAGUGCUCUGCCGGUAAUGCUGUAAACAUCACCACUCUACACUGCUGUAGUGUUUAGUGCUGUUCAGUACUCUACAGUGCCCUAGUGUCCGGUGCUGUGCAAUACCUACACUGCUGCAGUGUUUAGUGCUGCAGAUGGCUGUACACUGCUGCAGUGUUUAGUGCUGCAGAUGGCUGUACACUGCUGCCCAGCAUUGCACGGUACUGUCGCUUGUCAGAACACGUAACCACCAUCAUUGGGGUGAUUAGCAGUGAGUGCACAAGUAGCUGCAGCCAAGUGCUUUCACGGCUACUGCGGUGUGCACUGACAACACUAAAUACGCUAGGCAUAGCAAUGUGUUCAGGUCGCCGUGCAUACUAUUAGCAUGCAUGGCAGUUUGCAUGGUAUGCAUGACAGUUUGCAUAACAGCGCACAUGGCAAUGUCUAUUGCAGCUCAUCUCACCUUUCUCUCAUUUGGUGAUGCAGUUAUGAUAUUGAGCUGGCUACCGCUCUGGGCUUGUAUUUGCAAACAUGUCCAACUUUUGCCGUCGAUCUUCUUGUGCUUUCACGGAACUUGCUUGUUAUUUCAUCGCAGUCGCUUUGUUUCAGUCUGAAUCAAUCCUCCUUGCCUUUGCAGUGUGAACAGGAGACAUACGGUGGAAAAUCAAAGUGAAGCGAAAGCUUUAAAAAAAAACAGA